AGAACGAACGCUGGCGGCGUGCUUAACACAUGCAAGUCGAGUGCGCGUUUCCGUAGCAAUACGGAGAUGGCGCACGGCGCACGGGUGCGUAACACGUGGGCAAUCUGCCCUCCGAUGGGGAAUAACCCCGCGAAAGCGGGGCUAAUACCGCAUAACAUUCCUUGGACUUCGGUCCGUGGAUUCAAAACCGCAAGGUGUCGGAGGAGGAGCCCGCGCCCGAUUAGCUAGUUGGUGAGGUAACGGCUCACCAAGGCAAUGAUCGGUAGCUGGUCUGAGAGGAUGGCCAGCCACACUGGAACUGAGACACGGUCCAGACUCCUACGGGAGGCAGCAGUGGGGAAUCUUGCGCAAUGGGCGAAAGCCUGACGCAGCGACGCCGCGUGGGGGAUGAAGCAUUUCGGUGUGUAAACCCCUUUCGACUGGGACGAAUGCCUCGCAAGAGGAGUGACGGUACCAGUAGAAGAAGCCCCGGCUAACUACGUGCCAGCAGCCGCGGUAAGACGUAGGGGGCCAGCGUUGUUCGGAAUUACUGGGUGUAAAGGGUUCGUACGCGGUGUGGCAAGUCGGGAGUGAAAUCUAUGGGCUUAACUCAUAGGCUGCUUCCGAAACUGCUGUGCUUGAGUGUGGGAGAGGCGCGUGGAAUUGCAGGUGUAGCGGUGAAAUGCGUAGAUAUCUGCAGGAACACCCGUGGC
rnacentral:rRNA from 1 species